rnacentral:rRNA from 1 species
UACGUAGGGGGCAAGCGUUGUCCGGAAUCAUUGGGCGUAAAGCGCGUGUAGGCGGCCAGGUAAGUCCGUUCUGAAAGCCCGGGGCUCAACCCCGGGAGGCGGAUGGAUACUGCUUGGCUCGAGUCCGGAAGAGGCGAGUGGAAUUCCCGGUGUAGCGGUGAAAUGCGCAGAUAUCAGGAGGAACACCGGUGGCGAAGGCGGUUCUCUGGGCCUGUACUGACGCUGAGGAGCGAAAGCGUGGGGAGCGAACAGG